GAAAGUAAAAGUCGUAACAAGGUCUCCGUAGGUGAACCUGCGGAGGGAUCAUUAACGAGUUAGGGCCUCCGUGCCUGACCUCCAACCCUCUUGUAUCACAACACCUCGUUGCCUCGGGGGUGGCCCUGCCUCGCGGCGGGCCCCCCGGAGGACCACUCAAACACUGCAUUUUAAUGUCGUCUGAGUUAGAUUUUAAAUGAAAUCAAAACUUUCAACAACGGAUCUCUUGGUUCUG
rnacentral:misc_RNA from 1 species